rnacentral:misc_RNA from 1 species
CACACAUGAAGGUAUUCAGCUUUGGAUGAUGACAAUCACACAAGACAAGGUCAAGUGUGCCAAGUGAAGGGAGUCAUCUUUACAAGGUGUGCCUGGGGGAAGGUCACUGAUGAGACAGCUGCUGUUUCUACCAUUAACAGUUCUUACUGUGCCACCAACUGUGGGUGUGCUGGAUGGGCACCAUGGGUCAGAAUAACAGCAGCAACCCCCUGCGGGAGAACCUGGAGUCACUCCAUAACCAGAUGAUGAAGCAUGCAGGAGCAGACUAUGACAUUGCCACUACCACCACACUCACCUAUGACCAGUUCCUCACCUACAUUACACAGCUUAACCAAAUAUGCCGUGAAUACAAAGACAGAGAAGGCCACAUGCUGGUCUUUGCCGUCAAGAAAGGCACUGAUUCCACUGUUUUCUGGAAAGCCACAGUCCGCAUUGCUUGUGUUAAGCUCAACACCAUUACCAACAAGGUUCAGUCAUAUCGCCUCCUCAACAUUCGCCAGUUCCUUCAGGUGUUCCGUCGAGUUACCUAUGAAUGUACUGGGGGAACACUGGGCAGUAUUGAUGGAGUACUUGGGACUGAUAUUGCAGGGGAUUGUAGCUCAAUGGAACAGGGCUCAGUGGUGCCUAUCCCUCCUACUAUGGCUGCCUCAUUGGUGCUGGGAGGGAUGCAGGAGGUGACUCAGGACACUUCAGCAGCUGCCUCCACCAGCCAGGAGGAGAUGGAGAGCCCAGGGGCAGUUGGUGGCUGGGACGUCAACCUGAGCGAGUGCAUGAUCUGUCUGGAGCGCAAGCCAGAUGUCAUCCUGCCUUGUACUCAUGCCUACUGCCUCCCCUGCAUAGAGCAAUGGUGGGAAUAUGCUAGACCUACCUCACAAGAAUGUGCCUCCUCCUCCUCUUCCUCCUCCUCCACCACCAGUCUUGUGUACCCAGUCCCGCCAUGUGUUCAGCCGAAGACCGCUGUAGUGAGUGUUCCCACCUCUCCCUUCUCCAGUUCCAAGCGUAUGUGAAGGAUGCUGAGAAGCGUUAUGCUAAGGAGAAGAAGCAGGCCAAGUCGUCUGUCAGUUCCAGUGAGAAGCGUUCUCGCCGGCAGGAGCCAGCUUCUGAGGCCCCUUGGGCCAGCAGGUCAGUGGUGGAGAAGACCUGCCCCAUGUGCCGUGAAUCUUUGGAGAGCACUGAUGACACCUGGGUGCUCUCUGAGGCUCCAGACUCUGACCAAGUCAAUGAAGAGAUCCGCAAGACACUCAUCAGCCUAGCAG